UUAGAGUUUGAUCCUGGCUCAGGAUGAACGCUGGCGGCGUGCUAAUACAUGCAGUAGAACGCUGAAGGAGGAGCUUGCUCUUCUGGAUGAGUUGCGAACGGGUGAGUAACGCGUAGGUAACCUGCCUGGUAGCGGGGGAUAACUAUUGGAAACGAUAGCUAAUACCGCAUAACAGUAGAUGUUGCAUGACAUCUACUUGAAAGGUGCAAUUGCAUCACUACCAGAUGGACCUGCGUUGCAUUAGCUAGUUGGUGAGGUAACGGCUCACCAAGGCGACGAUACAUAGCCGACCUGAGAGGGUGAUCGGCCACACUGGGACUGAGACACGGCCCAGACUCCUACGGGAGGCAGCAGUAGGGAAUCUUCGGCAAUGGACGGAAGUCUGACCGAGCAACGCCGCGUGAGUGAAGAAGGUUUUCGGAUCGUAAAGCUCUGUUGUAAGAGAAGAACGAGCGUGAGAGUGGAAAGUUCACACUGUGACGGUAUCUUACCAGAAAGGGACGGCUAACUACGUGCCAGCAGCCGCGGUAAUACGUAGGUCCCGAGCGUUAUCCGGAUUUAUUGGGCGUAAAGCGAGCGCAGGCGGUUAGAUAAGUCUGAAGUUAAAGGCUGUGGCUUAACCAUAGCACGCUUUGGAAACUGUUUAACUUGAGUGCAAGAGGGGAGAGUGGAAUUCCAUGUGUAGCGGUGAAAUGCGUAGAUAUAUGGAGGAACACCGGUGGCGAAAGCGGCUCUCUGGCUUGUAACUGACGCUGA
rnacentral:rRNA from 1 species